UCGAAAGGGCAAGUGCAUGAUCUACAGCUGU
rnacentral:piRNA from 1 species